rnacentral:rRNA from 1 species
AGGAAAAGAAACCAACAGGGAUUGCCCCAGUAACGGCGAGUGAAGCGGCAACAGCUCAAAUUUGAAAUCUGGCCCCUCCCGCGGGGGGGCCCGAGUUGUAAUUUGCAGAGGAUGCUUCUGGCGAGGUGCCUUCCGAGUUCCCUGGAACGGGACGCCACAGAGGGUGAGAGCCCCGUCUGGUCGGACACCGAGCCUCUGUGAAGCUCCUUCGACGAGUCGAGUAGUUUGGGAAUGCUGCUCUAAAUGGGAGGUAUAUGUCUUCUAAAGCUAAAUACCGGCCAGAGACCGAUAGCGCACAAGUAGAGUGAUCGAAAGAUGAAAAGCACUUUGAAAAGAGGGUUAAACAGUACGUGAAAUUGUUGAAAGGGAAGCGCUCACGACCAGACCUGGUCCCGGCGAAUCACCCGGCGUUCUCGCCGGUGCACUUCGGCGGGCUUCCAGGCCAGCAUCAGUCCGCGCCGGGGGACAAAGGCGGCGGGAACGUGGCUCCCCAGGGAGUGUUAUAGCCCGCCGCGCAAUGCCCCGGGGGCGGACUGAGGACCGCGCGUCUACCGCAAGGAUGCUGGCGUAAUGGUCGUCAGCGGCCCGUCUUGAA